ensembl:snoRNA
ACGCACUGUUCGUAAUCAGUUGCCAUACUCGUUGGUAGUUGGUUCCAUUCCGGUGCUAUAGAAACCCCCUUAAGGACAAUGCAGGCCGCUCCUGUUGGGCUGAUGCUCUUUUUGGGGAACAUCU